CAAUAGCGUAUAUUAAAGUUGUUGCAGUUAAAAAGCUCGUAGUUGGAUUUCUGAUCGAGACAUCAGGUCGGGUCCGAGAGGAUCAUGUACUUUGAUUUUGUUUUGAUCAUCCUUGGGGAGAGCAUUUCUGGCAUUCAGUUGUCGGGAUUGGGAUCCUCAUCGUUUACUGUGAAAAAAUUAGAGUGCUCAAAGCAGGCCUCGGCCUCUGAAUACAUUAGCAUGGAAUAAUAAGAUAGGACUUUGGUGGUCUAUUUUGUUGGUUUGCACGCCAAAGUAAUGAUUAAUAGGGAUAGUUGGGGGUAUUCGUAUUCAAUUGUCAGAGGUGAAAUUCUUGGAUUUAUGGAAGACGAACUACUGCGAAAGCAUUUACCAAGGAUGUUUUCAUUAA
rnacentral:rRNA from 1 species